rnacentral:rRNA from 1 species
GAUGAACGCUAGCGGCAGGCCUAACACAUGCAAGUCGAGGGAGAAGCCCUUCGGGGCAGAAACCGGCGCACGGGUGCGUAACGCGUAUGCAACCUACCUUUCACAGGGGGAUAGCCCGAAGAAAUUUGGAUUAAUACCCCAUAAUAUUGUUGGAUGGCAUCAUUUAGCAAUUAAAACUACGGUGGUGAAAGAUGGGCAUGCGUCCUAUUAGCUAGUUGGAGUGGUAACGGCACCCCAAGGCUACGAUAGGUAGGGGUCCUGAGAGGGAGAUCCCCCACACUGGUACUGAGACAGGGGCCGAACUCCUACGGGAGGCAGCAGUGAGGAAUAUUGGUCAAUGGUCGGAAGACUGAACCAGCCAUGCCGCGUGCAGGAAGAAUGCCUUAUGGGUUGUAAACUGCUUUAUAUGGGAAGAAUAAGGUGUACGAGUACAUUGAUGACGGUACCAUAUGAAAAGCAUCGGCUAACUCCGUGCCAGCAGCCGCGGUAA